rnacentral:rRNA from 1 species
AAGGAUCAUUAGUGAAUAA